AUGCUGAGCUCAGUCUGCGUCUCGUCGUUCCGCGGGCGCCAGGGGGCCAGCAAGCAGCAGCCGGCGCCGCAGCCGCCCGAGUCCCCGCCGCCGCUGCCCGCGCCGCCUCCGCCGCCCGCUCCGCCGCCGCCGCCGCAGCCUGCGCAGCCCGGCCCCGCCGCGUCCCCGGCGGGCCCCCCGCCACCCCGCGGGCCCGGGGGCCGGCGCGCCGAGCCAUGCCCCGGGCUGCCGGCGGCGGCCAUGGGGCGGCACGGCGGCGGCGGUGGCGACAGCGGCAAGAUCGUGAUCAACGUGGGCGGCGUGCGCCAUGAGACGUACCGCUCGACGCUGCGCACCCUCCCGGGGACGCGGCUGGCCGGCCUCACGGAGCCCGAAGCGGCGGCGCGCUUCGAUUACGACCCGGGAGCCGACGAGUUCUUCUUCGACCGGCACCCGGGCGUCUUCGCCUACGUGCUCAACUACUACCGCACCGGCAAGCUGCACUGCCCGGCCGACGUGUGCGGGCCGCUCUUCGAGGAGGAGCUGGGCUUCUGGGGCAUCGACGAGACGGACGUGGAGGCUUGCUGCUGGAUGACCUACCGGCAGCACCGCGACGCCGAGGAGGCGCUCGACUCCUUCGAGGCGCCCGACCCCUCGGGCGCCGCCGGUGCAGCCAACGCGGGCGGCGCCCACGACGCAGGCCUGGACGACGAGGCGGGCGCGGGCGGCGGCGGCCUGGACGGUGCGGGCGGCGAGCUCAAGCGCCUCUGCUUCCAGGAUGCGGGCGGCGGCGCCGGGGGCCCGCCGGGGGGCGCGGGCGGCGCGGGCGGCACGUGGUGGCGCCGCUGGCAGCCGCGCGUGUGGGCGCUCUUCGAGGACCCCUACUCGUCGCGGGCUGCCAGGUAUGUGGCCUUCGCCUCACUCUUCUUCAUCCUCAUCUCCAUCACCACCUUCUGCCUGGAGACCCACGAGGGCUUCCUCCACAUCAGCAACAAGACGGUGACCCAGGCUUCGCCGAUCCCGGGGGCCCCGCCGGAGAACAUCACCAACGUGGAGGUGGAGACGGAGCCCUUCCUGACGUACGUGGAGGGCGUGUGCGUAGUGUGGUUCACCUUCGAGUUCCUCAUGCGCAUCACCUUCUGCCCAGACAAGGUGGAGUUCCUCAAGAGCAGCCUCAACAUCAUCGACUGUGUGGCCAUCCUGCCCUUCUACCUGGAGGUCGGGCUCAGCGGCCUCUCAUCCAAGGCUGCCAAGGACGUGCUGGGCUUCCUGCGCGUCGUGCGCUUUGUGCGCAUUCUACGCAUCUUCAAACUUACGCGCCACUUCGUGGGCCUGCGUGUGCUGGGCCACACGCUCCGGGCCAGCACCAACGAGUUCCUACUGCUCAUCAUCUUCCUGGCCCUGGGCGUGCUCAUCUUCGCCACCAUGAUCUACUACGCCGAGCGCAUCGGUGCAGACCCCGAUGAUAUCCUGGGCUCCAACCACACCUACUUCAAGAACAUCCCCAUCGGCUUCUGGUGGGCUGUGGUCACCAUGACCACCCUGGGCUACGGAGACAUGUACCCCAAGACCUGGUCAGGGAUGCUGGUCGGGGCACUGUGUGCCUUGGCUGGGGUGCUGACCAUCGCCAUGCCCGUGCCCGUCAUCGUCAACAACUUUGGCAUGUACUACUCACUGGCCAUGGCCAAGCAGAAGCUGCCCAAGAAGAAGAACAAACACAUCCCCCGGCCCCCGCAGCCCGGCUCGCCCAACUACUGCAAGCCCGAGCCGCCCCCACCACCCCCGCCCCACCCGCACCACGGCAGCAGCAGUGGCAUCAGCCCGCCACCACCCAUCACCCCACCCUCUGUGGGGAUGACUGUGGCUGGGGCCUACCCACCAGGACCCCACACGCACCCUGGGCUGCUCAGGGGGGGAGCGGGUGGGCUGGGGAUCAUGGGGCUGCCUCCUCUGCCCGCCCCUGGCGAGCCCUGCCCACUGGCUCAGGAAGAAGUCAUUGAGAUCAACCGGGCAGAUCCCCGCCCCAAUGGGGACCCAGCGGCAGCCGCGCUGGCCCACGAGGACUGCCCCGCUAUCGACCAGCCCGCCAUGUCUCCAGAGGACAAGAGCCCCAUCACACCUGGAAGCCGGGGCCGCUACAGCCGCGACCGGGCCUGCUUCCUCCUCACUGACUACGCCCCGUCCCCUGAUGGCUCCAUCCGGAAAGCCACUGGUGCUGCCCCAGUGCCCCCCCUAGACUGGCGUAAGCCAGGCCCCCCAAGCUUCUUGCCCGACCUCAACGCAAACGCCGCGGCCUGGAUAUCCCCCUAGUGGACGAACCCCUUUUCCCCGGGCUCUUGUCACCGCCUGAGAUCUCGGGAGACCCUCGGUCCCCCCCUGCCCCUUCCCCCCAGGUUAUGAGAAGUCCCGCAGUCUGAGCAGCAUCGCGGGCCUCAGUGGGGUGUCCCUGCGCCUUGCGCCUCUGGCCACCCCCCCUGGCUCUCCCAGGGCUGCCCGCCGCGCUCCUCCAACCCUGCCCUCCAUCCUUUAGUGCUCCCCUCCCCCCUGUGGGGGGACUCGGGGGUGACUGGGAAGAAGGUCCAAGGAGCUGGGGGUGGGGGUGGGGGAAAGGGUUUUUUUUUAGAAAAAAAUCAAAAGUCAUUAAUAAUGUGCAACGGAGAUGAAGACGCCAGCAGACACCCCUGGGCCCCUCCCCCCCUUGGGCCCUUCCAGGAUGAAAGGGGAGGAACCAAAGCCCAUCCCCCAACUCCUCCUCCCUUCCAAAAUAAGCCUUCUCAGGUCUCCACAGCCAUAUGAUCCCUCCCAUCCACUUGUGUAAAUAAGGCCAAAUUAUGCCAAUUACAUCUUGAGAAACCUCCACUAUUCUGCAUGCCCUUCCCCUCCCCACCCGACCCCCUCCUCAGCUCCACCUCAGCAAUAAGGCGCCGCCAGCGGCUGCAUGCGCGAGUUAGAGGGAAGGGGGCUUGGAGCCAAGGUCUGCAAAACCACCGGAGGGGCUCCCGGCUUCCGGGGCUUCUGGGGAAGAGGGCGCCCUCACCUCGUGGAGUUGCAGGGGAGCUAGCCUGGCCCCAGUAAAGCUGCCUGCUCAGGGCUGAGCCUGAGGGAGGCAGCCACGUGGCUGUGACAGCUGCUCCCAGCCUCUGCCCCCACCCCCACCAGGGAUCUGCUCCCCUCGGUUCCUGCUGCUGGGACCCAGUUGCGCCCCACACCCCCAGAGUUCCAGGAUGAUCUUGUCCCCAGCACACAAUCUACCCCACCUUCCCACGGCCCCCAUCCCAUUCCCAGGACUGGAGAGCUGCACCCAGAUCCUUUUACACUGAUCCUGGCACUCCACAUCCCUCAAAUCUGCCUCCCACACACCAGCCUGGGACUUCCCCUCCGCUGCCCUGCCCGCCCCCAUUUCCCUGGACUGCAUCCCAGCACUUAAACCUCCAAGACUUGACCCAGCUCUGAGCUCAGUUCCAGCCUUUGGGAUGCUCCAGCCUCCUUCCCAGCCCUGCCUCUUGCGGGGUCCCCUG